rnacentral:rRNA from 1 species
UACCGCAUACGUCCUACGGGAGAAAGCAGGGGACCUUCGGGCCUUGCGCUAAUAGAUGAGCCUAGGUCGGAUUAGCUAGUUGGUGAGGUAAUGGCUCACCAAGGCGACGAUCCGUAACUGGUCUGAGAGGAUGAUCAGUCACACUGGAACUGAGACACGGUCCAGACUCCUACGGGAGGCAGCAGUGGGGAAUAUUGGACAAUGGGCGAAAGCCUGAUCCAGCCAUGCCGCGUGUGUGAAGAAGGUCUUCGGAUUGUAAAGCACUUUAAGUUGGGAGGAAGGGCAGUAAAUUAAUACUUUGCUGUUUUGACGUUACCGACAGAAUAAGCACCGGCUAACUCU